AUGGCUCUACUUAUGAGGCUCGCUAAGGCUGGCAGGCUCAUCUGUCUGUCCCGAUCUACGCCGUCGCAGGGCGUUCCUCGGCACGUGGUCGCGUUUUCGUCCUCAUCAGGAGAUGAGCCUGCCCCAGUCGACCCCAAAAUUGGAGCAAAGGAAUCGCGUGCUGCAACUGGCCCCAACAUUGGGGGGGACUAUCCGACUGGUGCUAUCGGUCCAAUUGGUUCUGAUGGGCUACCGACAUAUGUGGAUUGGGUGAAGUUCGGCGCUGUCACACCCCUGCAAAACCAGGGCGAAUGUGGUAGUUGUUUCAGCUUUUCAGCUGCCGCUUCACUGGAGGGUCUCCACUUCAUUCAAACAGGACAGCUAUUCAAACUCUCGGAGCAGCAUAUUUUGGAUGGCAGCCAUCUGCGGAAUCAUGGAUGUGAAGGUGGUUCGGCAUAUGAGGCCCUGCUCUACAUCAAAAGGAAUGGAGGGAUUGUGUUUUCAGAUCACUACCCAUACAUAGGAAAGCAGUGUGUUCCCAAGAAACUGACUGCGCCUGGCUUGAUGAUAGAUGACGCUGUGAACUACACAAGCAUUUCAGAACAUGUUCUGAAGUGGCAGGUGGCUCAUCAGCCUGUCUGUGCAACAAUCGGGGCAGAUGACGAGUUCUAUGCAGAUGUGAAGGCUGGCGUGCUUGUCUUGGAAGGACCCAACUUCCCCCUGUCUGAAAUUUAUGACAGGGAAAUUGCACAUUCAAUUGCUAUUGUUGGUUAUGGAGCAGUCAAUCCUGGUGGCCGACAAGUUUGGCUGGCCAAGUGCUCAAAUGGCAAUUUCCUGUUGAUAGACAGAGGCAGUGGGGCUUUGGGCAUCAAUAGAAGCAUCUCAUUUCCCAUAAGAGUGUCGUGCACGCGAGAGGUCAUCAAUGUUACAGUGAAAUCUGACGAGGAGCUGGGGGCAGAACCGCGUACCAACUUAUACCCUUACUAG
rnacentral:rRNA from 1 species